rnacentral:rRNA from 1 species
AAUAUUGGACCAUGGGGGCAACCCUGAUCCAGCCGAGCCGCGUGUGGGAAGAAGGUCUUCGGCUUGUAAAGCACUUUAAGUUGGGAGGAAGGGCGUUAGGUUAAUACACUGCAGUUGUGACGUUACCAACAGAAUAAGCAGCGGCUACUGCUUUGCCAGCAGCCGCGGUAAUACAGAGGGUGUAAGCGUUAAUCGGAAUUACUGGGAGUAAAGCGCGCGUAGGUGGUUUAGUAAAAUGGGUGUGAAAAACCCGGGCUUAACCUGGGAACUGCUUUCAUAACUGCUGAGGUAGAGUACGGUGGAGGGUAGAGGAAUUUCCUGUGUAGCGGUGAAAUGCGUAGAUAUAGGAAGGAACACCAGUGGCGAAGGCGACUACCUGGACUGAUACUGACACUGAGGUGCGAAAGCGUGGGGAGCAAAC